rnacentral:rRNA from 1 species
ACGCUCGACACCUACGGGAGCAGCAGUGGGGAAUAUUGCACAAUGGGGGAAACCCUGAUGCAGCGACGCCGCGUGGAGGAAGAAGGUCUUCGGAUUGUAAACUCCUGUUGUUGGGGAAAAAGAGGAUGGUACCCAACAAGGAAGUGACGGCUAACUACGUGCCAGCAGCCGAGUAUNUGAGCGGNNGAGAG